UGGGUUAAUUUUGGUUCCUGAUGAAAAGAUAACAAUACAGUAAGCAUAAAGGGGAAGUUAAUAUCCUUGAGAAAGUUACAGAAUGAUUACAGUGGGGGGUGUGUGUGUUAAUAAUGCUUAUUAACAAGUCUGAAAUCUGACCCCUGAUUUCCACAUUUGGUAUUUUCAGAGAAAACAAGAGAUAGUCACAGCCAGGAUCAAUUCACAGUGCCAGUCCUGAAUACAAUAGAACAGUGAGGUACAAACCCUUUGUGUGGUCCCUGGAUAAUCAGUCCACACUACUGAUUACCUCUUUUCUCUUAGAAAGAAGUUGGAGACAUACGUCUCAAUCUUAUAUAAGAAUUCUGAGCUGGAGAUAAAGGUUUGAUGGAGGCACAGUAGGGGUCCCAGGUGGUGAAAUCACACAGGAAUAAUACAUUCUAUGGGAAGAGGAAGAAGAGCCUGUAAAGCAUUUGGAGAAGGAAUGAUCAGAGACAUGGCAGGGAAGUUUAAUAGACAUGGAUAAGAAGUCUGCUCCCAGAAAUCCUGAAGAUGCCAAGGCUGGCAAAUAUGAAGGUAAACACAAACGAAAGAAAAAAAGAAAGCAAAACCAAAACCACCACCGAUCCCGACAUAGAUCAGUGACAUCUUUUUCUUCAGAUGAUCGUAUGUUUACUUCUUCCUCAUCAUCAUCUUCAGGAAGCCAGACGGAUUCGAGUAUUGAAGAUGCUACCAAGGGAAAAAUUAAGAAGAAGAGAAGAGAGAAAACAAAUAAAUGGAGGGAAAAAAGAAAGGUAUCUUCUGAGAUGUCCAUCAUCCUUUCUGGUCCUCAGUGAUUGGUCCACACCAUUUGCCACUAAGAUGUUGUCAUUCCUGUUUCUCUGGUACCUUCAGGACAAAAUAUGAAACACCAAGAAAAAGAAAGAGAAGGAAAAAAAGGAGUAAACAACCACAUAUGUCAUCUUUCCAAGAGGGGCUGAAACCGGGCUGACCUUUUUGAUUUCCAAACUCAGCGUUUUGGUGUAAGGCGGACAAAGAAGGAUGCAGAGCCCAGCACUGUGAAGCCUACAAAAACAUUGACGCGCUGGCUUGGGGAUUUGAAUUUGGACAUCUUUCACACCGAGUUCAGACUCAUGAAACCAAUCUUCAGAUGCUCUGUAAACCACAUAAUAAAGAGUUUGGAAAUUA